GCCUUAGUAGCUCAGUGGUAGAGCGUUUGCCUAGUAUACGAUUAGGUGAGCAAAAGGUCCAGUGUUCGACUCACUGUUGAGGCA